GAUAAUAGAUAACAGCAUGUAGUAAUAUAUAACAGCAUAUAGUAGUGGAUAAUAGCAAGCAGUAGUGGAUAAUAGCACGCAGUAGUGGAUAAUAGCAUGAAUUCGUGGACUGUAGCAUUUAGUAGUGUUUAAUAGUACACAGCAAUAGAUAAAUGCAUGAAGUAGUGGAUCACAGCAUGUAGUUGUGGAUCACAGCAUGAGGUCGUGGAUCACAGCACGAAGUUGU